AGACUUUCCUCUCGUCUUCUCCCUAGCAAACGGCGUCUCCGGUGACCUACCCUCGCCGUCUACGGUGACCUACCCUCGCCGUCUACGGUGACCUACCCUCGCCGUCUUCUAACUCUCCGAUCCGUUAAUCUCUCUUUUCAUCUCAUUUUCACCGAUAUUUCUCUCUUAAUCACCCCAAUCUCCUAAAUCUAAUCUUCAAAGAAAUCCUAGAAUACUUAACCCUAAACUAGAUGCCGAUGAAACAUUCAAACCACGCAAUUGGAAGUAGAAGAACGCUUAAGGGAUUAGAGGCUUACUUGGAGCGAAGAUAAAAACGAAGGGACCGAAAACCAGAGGGAAGAAUUCACGUUCGUCGGCGUGCGAAAUAAACGCACGGAAGUAAAGAGGUUCUUCAGGUGAUUCUUGACUCAGCGCUUCUCACUUCUUCUACUAUUCUUUUUUCUUUUGAUCUUUUCUGAAAUUGUUGUUGUGCGUGAUGGUUGUUGUUGCGGUGGUGCUGAGAUGCGAGGAAUGAAGAUUAGAGAUCGUGAGAUGAUGAGCGGUGAUACCAAUCGGUGUCUUGAAGGUUGGAGAUUAAAGCAAGAUGAAGAUGAUGAAGGUUUCUGAUAGUGUGGUCACGACGUGAAGCUGAGGCGAUGAUGAAGAUAUGGAUGUAUCUGCCGUCGAAAAUUGUUGAGUGAUGGAUGAAUUAAAUCCGCAGAAUGAAGAGGUGAAAAUUCGUGAAGAUGAAUUGGAGGAUUCGGUUGCGAUUUUUUUUUGCCACAGGGCUGGUUUAUUCGUGAUGCAGGGAAUUGUUUCGAGAAUUGAUUGGUGGUUAGAAAAAUAAGAACAUGGUGGUUAGUUCUGUUAUGAAUCGGUUAGAAGAAUGGGUGCAGGGCUGUUUUGAAUAAUUGUUUCUGAACUGAUUUGGAAAUGUGCAGUUAUGGUUUUGGGAAACUGUGGACUAUCGAAAAUGGCUUGGUGGAAGAAGUUGAUGAAGAGUUUUGGUUCUGUUUGGAAUAUUUAGGGCGGCUUCGGAUGUGUUAUGGCGUGGACUGUUUAGUGUGUAUUUUUGUUUUGAUGUAGGUUUGCUCCUGAAUGCUGACUACUCUUGGCGCGAUGAAAUGCCGCGGAUGGAUCGGUGAAUCAAUUAGAAUCAACUAUACAGUCAGGGUGCUGAUAGCUAGAAAAUGAGUUUAGCAAUUCCUGUUAGUGCAAAUGUAUUUACUUGGGGUUUAUUGUGGACUGAAGUGGAUUGGUGGGAAUGCUUUAUGACUGUGUAUUGAAUUGUGGUUCAUAGAUGGACUUCUGUUUGGACUUUGAAAUAUGGUUCUUUGUUUUGUAAUGGGAUGGUAGCUGAGUGGUGUAGGGAGAUACUGUAUGUGAAUUUUGUAGGGACAUGUAAUGUUUAUGCUUUGGCAAAUUUUGUAGGGACAUGUAAUGUUUAUGCUUUGGCUUAUGGAACCGU